AUUCUAAUAAGCCAAAUUACAUUGUUAAAGUAACAAGAUAAUAUAGAUUAGACGAUCCUAUGACCAGUGGCUGACGACACGACAUCAGUUCAGACAUCCCAUAUCGCAUCACCAGAUGACGCAACCAGGCUAGCUGUUUCCGCUGCAUGGUGGGAGUUCGCUUCGAUUCAGUGCAACAUCUGUUCUCUUCCUAAAAGUGACAAUGAUCUUACAGUUCACUGUGGCCCAUGAACACAACAAUGGCAAAAAGUGAUUGGAAGUCUUUUAUAUCUGAAUAAUCAGAAAUGAAAAUGAUUUCGCUCCAUUACACUGAGCCACCUGGGUCUAUCAUCUUACAUCUUGUAGAAUACAUGUACUCUUUUAUAGCUUGUACGUGUUUACUGCAAAUAAAAUAGUUGGAAAUGGUGAUUAUGUCCUGUAAGAGUGUACUUAGCCAUGGUGUAACAUAAUUGAUUUUCCAUUAAAAACCUAUCGGUUUCGUUCCACUA